GUUUCCAAUAGGGGCGUGUAAAGAACUAGUCUGCUCAUAAUUGAAAUUCUCCAGGCAAAUCAGAUAUCAACAUUUUUCAACAGAACAGGUCCAUUACAGACUGGAGAGAAGAAUGGUCCCAGACCUGAAGUACUUUCAUCUUGAACAUGACACAUCUCAAUCAGCAGAUGGGAGAAAAGCCAAAGAGGUAGAUAGGGAGAGGAG